rnacentral:pre_miRNA from 1 species
UACAAUGUUUUGACUCUUCGUCUUAUUCAAAAAUUUUUUGCGAUUAAUAUUUUUAUUGUCGCUAGAUGAUAAAACAUGAAUAGUACUUUAUGAGUGACUAUUUUUUUUAAGUUUUUUAUAAGUUUUUCAAAUAAGACAAAUGGUCCAACGUUGAAUACUGAAA